CGAGUCCACGCAAGUCUCCUAAAACCCUCAUUUCUCUCAAUUUCUGCUCGAAAAUCGCCGUCUCUUUCUUCACUUCCAACCAUUUCGUCGAUUGAUGGCGAAAGGAGCUUCGGAAUUCUCGUUUCUCGGACGUGCAGGUCAACCAAGGUGGACUCGAUAGACUAAUCAAACUUUCAUCUAUAUUUUCUGAAGACCCAUCUGUGCUACAAGAGGUACAUUGAGAGAUGAGUUGUGCCAGACUUAAAGUUGAAUACAUACGAUAAGACAGAUUGCUAUGCACUUGCAAAUCCAUUACUUUGUUUUAUGAGAAAUGCAAAAGGGACUAGCCUGAGUGGCAUUCCAUGGAACUUCCAUUCUAUCAACAUGUUUGAGGAUACAUUUGAGACUGUCAUAUAAGCCUUUUUAACAUGUAUGGUGAUCUAUUUAGCCUUUUAAGCAUGAUAGGCUAUCCUUAGGUAACUGUUGCAUUAACUGUAUACUCUGUACUGAUUUUUCUCUUUAUGGUAGUGUAAUAGUGCUUGAGGAACUACUUACAUGUUGUCUAUGCAGGAUGGCAUGUGCACUACAUGACUUUGCAUGCACCAAGAUUGCCUCUAAAAGUCCACAUAGUUAUUAAAAAAUAAAAA